rnacentral:rRNA from 1 species
UACGUAGGGUGCGUGCGUUAAUCGGAAUUACUGGGCGUAAAGCGUGCGCAGGCGGCGCCGCAAGUCAGGCGUGAAAUCCCCGAGCUUAACUUGGGAAUGGCGCUUGAAACUACGGUGCUGGAGUGUGGCAGAGGGAGGUGGAAUUCCACGUGUAGCGGUGAAAUGCGUAGAGAUGUGGAGGAACACCGAUGGCGAAGGCAGCCUCCUGGGCCAACACUGACGCUCAUGCACGAAAGCGUGGGGAGCAAACAGG